rnacentral:sRNA from 1 species
ACUUGUCUGCCGUUCGAACAACAAGAACGAACUCUACGUAAUGCCGGGAUACCCGUGGCAGCGAUAGCUGUUUGCCUGUUCGAAAACUUUUUGGGAGGUGUGAGAUGCGGC